rnacentral:rRNA from 1 species
CCCUUAGAUGUUCUGGGCCGCACGCGCGCUACACUGACGAAUGCAACGAGCUUAUAACCUUGGCCGAAAGGUCUGGGUAAUCUCCAAAUUUCGUCGUGAUGGGGAUAGAUUAUUGCAAUUAUUAAUCUUCAACGAGGAAUGCCUAGUAAGCGCAAGUCAUCAGCUUGCGUUGAUUACGUCCCUGCCUUUUGUACACACCGCCCGUCGCUCCUACCGAUUGAAUGGUCCGGUGAAGCGUUCGGACCGUGGCCUUUGGACGGUUCGCCGUCUGUUGGCUGCGGGAAGUUCGUUAAACCUUAUCAUUUAGAGGAAGGAGAANUCGUANCA